AUUAUUUCCGUCUAUAAAUAGACACUCGUUUUGCCACUCAUCCCAUUCUAUGCAUGUUGUGAAAUGAAAAAUUGCAGGGUAUUUACGUGCUGCUGGAGGCCUUGCAUGAAGAGGUAGAGAGUGUAAUUCAGCCAAGGAUGACUUGCCGGCCUGGCCUUGCCUGCAGCUAUCUACAACACCCGCCAACGCCGGCAAGUUGUUUCUUUGGCUACAUUGUACUCUUUUCUUCUCAUGUCAGGCCUGCUAUUGCUACCAGCCUACCACAGCAUUACAGACAGCGGAUUAUUUCGAAAGAGAAAAAAAGAAGCCCAGAAUAUAUGGUAACUGAUCGUAUCCUGGAAGGGCCAUGGCGAAGCAUACAUACAACAAAAGCAAAUUACAAAAAAAAGGUAAUCAAGCACGAGUCUGACGUAUUUUCCAAGUGGCUGUCUAGUUUAAACGAUAGAAAUGUAAGAAAAGGAGUAAUCCAACGAGAAGCCGUAUAAAUACGAUGCAUUGCAUGCUAGUGACGGUGACUUGAUGUCGCUUUUGGAGGCAGAGAAACAGAUGGGCCAUGUUUCUGCCCUAACUUGAUUAUUAGUUGAGAUCUUAAAAAUAAUCAAAAGAAUUAUAUCUGUACUGGUUAAUUAUAUUACAAUGCUGCUGUGUUCCAAUUAUCUCCACUCCUCAAGGAAUAUUUUCGGUUUUGUAAUUUGCAAUGUACAGUAUUUUUAAAAAACAUCAUGGGUUGCAGCCACA